GAUGAACGCUGGCGGCGUGCCUAACACAUGCAAGUUGAGCGAACAGACGAGGAGCUUGCUCCUUUGACGUUAGCGGCGGACGGGUGAGUAACACGUGUGUAACCUACCUAUCAGACUGGGAUAACUUCGGGAAACGGGCGCUAAUCCCGGAGAAGAUUCCGAACCGCAUGGUUCGAUAGUGAAAGACGGCUUUGCUGUCACUUAUAGAUGGACCUGCGCCGUAUUAGCUAGUUGGUAGGGUAACGGCCUACCAAGGCAACGAUACGUAGCCGAACUGAGAGGGUGGUCGGCCACACUGGAGCUGAGACACGGUCCAGGCGCCUACGAGAGGCACCAGUAGGGAAUCUGACGCAGUGGGCGAAAACCUGACAGAGCGGCGCGGCGUGUGUGGUGGAAGUCUUCGGAUCGUGAAGCUCGGUUAUUGGGGGAAAACAAACUUGGAAGGAGAUGAGGAGGGAGUGACGGUAACUAGUAAGAAAGCAACGGCUAACUACGUG
rnacentral:rRNA from 1 species